rnacentral:rRNA from 1 species
CGUAACAAGGUCUCCGUAGGUGAACCUGCGGAGGGAUCAUUACACAAAUAUGAAGGCGGGCUGGAACCUCUCGGGGUUACAGCCUUGCUGAAUUAUUCACCCUUGUCUUUUGCGUACUUCUUGUUUCCUUGGUGGGUUCGCCCUCCACUAGGACAAACAUAAACCUUUUGUAAUUGCAAUCAGCGUCAGUAACAAAUUAAUAAUUACAACUUUCAACAACGGAUCUCUUGGUUCUGGCAUCGAUGAAGAACGCAGCGAAAUGCGAUAAGUAGUGUGAAUUGCAGAAUUCAGUGAAUCAUCGAAUCUUUGAACGCACAUUGCGCCCUUUGGUAUUCCAAAGGGCAUGCCUGUUCGAGCGUCAUUUGUACCCUCAAGCUUUGCUUGGUGUUGGGCGUCUUGUCUCUAGCUUUGCUGGAGACUCGCCUUAAAGUAAUUGGCAGCCGGCCUACUGGUUUCGGAGCGCAGCACAAGUCGCACUCUCUAUCAGCAAAGGUCUAGCAUCCAUUAAGCCUUUUUUUCAACUUUUGACCUCGGAUCAGGUAGGGAUACCCGCUGAACUUAAGCAUAUCA